UGCGUAGGUGAUUUCUUAAGUCAGAGGUGAAAGGCUACGGCUCAACCGUAGUAAGCCUUUGAAACUGGGAAACUUGAGUGCAGGAGAGGAGAGUGGAAUUCCUAGUGUAGCGGUGAAAUGCGUAGAUAUUAGGAGGAACACCAGUUGCGAAGGCGGCUCUCUGGACUGUAACUGACACUGAGGCACGAAAGCGUGGGGAGCAAACA
rnacentral:rRNA from 1 species